CUUUCUGUCAGGUAUGUGAUUUGUAAUGAUCACCUGGUUGAUUGGGAUUGGCUUAUUUCAAAUGAUAGGUCAUCAGCCAUUUUCACACACAGCACUUGUCACCCUCACCUGAUGUGCUCAGCACUUGUCACCAGUACUUAAUGUGCACAGCAAUUCAAGAUAACCAAUAAUCUACUUCCAAGGUAUCACAAUCCUGUAGUAUGCGGAGGGUUGACCGCCCGUAACAACACUCCCGUGUCACCCACAGGGUACGCAGGUUAUAAUCUAUUUCAUUAUUUAUGCAUAAGUGAUGUAUUUGCUUAUUGUUGAAUAUAUUGUAUUCUUGUCUGGUAUCAUGUACUUCAUUACAUGAUGAUAUAUCAUAAUUUGGUAAAACACAUUUGUAAGAAACCUAUAUUUGUAUGUGUACUUGUAAUGGUAUGAGCAUAUGAUGUAUGCAUUAUUACAGAUAGUAAUGUACCUGUAAACAUAUGCUUAUUGAUGUUAUGUAAUAUAGUGUGAUGUAAUAUGCACGCUUGUAUCUUAACCCAUGAAUGAAAUUGAACUUAUGAUAAUACUAUUGUUACAGAGUGUCUACUGAUAUCAACUGAUAUCCACUGAAUCAUCAGAAUAAACGAGUUGACCUCA